rnacentral:rRNA from 1 species
AUUGAACGCUGGCGGCAGGCUUAACACAUGCAAGUCGAACGAAGUUAGGAAGCUUGCUUCUGAUACUUAGUGGCGGACGGGUGAGUAAUGCUUAGGAAUCUGCCUAGUAGUGGGGGAUAACUUGGGGAAACCCAAGCUAAUACCGCAUACGACCUACGGGUGAAAGGGGGCUUUUAGCUCUCGCUAUUAGAUGAGCCUAAGUCGGAUUAGCUGGUUGGUGGGGUAAAGGCCUACCAAGGCGACGAUCUGUAGCUGGUCUGAGAGGAUGAUCAGCCACACUGGGACUGAGACACGGCCCAGACUCCUACGGGAGGCAGCAGUGGGGAAUAUUGCACAAUGGGCGCAAGCCUGAUGCAGCGACGCCGCGUGGGGGAUGAAGGCCUUCGGGUUGUAAACUCCUUUCGCUAGGGACGAAGCUUUGUGUGACGGUACCUAGAUAAGAAGCACCGGCUAACUACGUGCCAGCAGCCGCGGUAAUACGUAGGGUGCGAGCGUUGUCCGGAAUUACUGGGCGUAAAGGGCUCGUAGGUGGUUUGUCGCGUCGUCUGUGAAAUUCUGGGGCUUAACUCCGGGCGUGCAGGCGAUACGGGCAUAACUUGAGUGCUGUAGGGGUAACUGGAAUUCCUGGUGUAGCGGUGAAAUGCGCAGAUAUCAGGAGGAACACCGAUGGCGAAGGCAGGUUACUGGGCAGUUACUGACGCUGAGGAGCGAAAGCAUGGGUAGCGAACAGGAUUAGAUACCCUGGUAGUCCAUGCCGUAAACGGUGGGCGCUAGGUGUGAGGGUCUUUCUACGACUUUCGUGCCGUAGCUAACGCAUUAAGCGCCCCGCCUGGGGAGUACGGCCGCAAGGCUAAAACUCAAAGGAAUUGACGGGGGCCCGCACAAGCGGCGGAGCAUGUGGAUUAAUUCGAUGCAACGCGAAGAACCUUACCUGGCUUGACAUACAUCAGAUCGCUGCAGAGAUGUAGUUUCCCUUUGUGGUUGGUGUACAGGUGGUGCAUGGUUGUCGUCAGCUCGUGUCGUGAGAUGUUGGGUUAAGUCCCGCAACGAGCGCAACCCUUGUCUUAUGUUGCCAGCAUUUGGUUGGGGACUCAUGAGAGACUGCCGGGGUUAACUCGGAGGAAGGUGGGGAUGACGUCAAAUCAUCAUGCCCCUUAUGUCCAGGGCUUCACACAUGCUACAAUGGUCGGUACAACGCGUUGCGACACUGUGAGGUGGAGCGAAUCGCUGAAAGCCGGUCUUAGUUCGGAUUGGGGUCUGCAACUCGACCCCAUGAAGUCGGAGUCGCUAGUAAUCGCAGAUCAGCAAUGCUGCGGUGAAUACGUUCCCGGGCCU